GACGAACGCUGGCGGCGUGCUUAACACAUGCAAGUCGAACGAUGAAGCCGGAGCUUGCUCUGGUGGAUUAGUGGCGAACGGGUGAGUAACACGUGAGUAACCUGCCCUUGACUCUGGGAUAAGCGUUGGAAGCGACGUCUAAUACCGGAUACGAGCUAGGACCGCAUGGUCACUAGCUGGAAAGAACUUCGGUCAAGGAUGGACUCGCGGCCUAUCAGUUAGUUGGUGAGGUAACGGCUCACCAAGACGGCGACGGGUAGCCGGCCUGAGAGGGUGACCGGCCACACUGGGACUGAGACACGGCACAGACUCCAACGGGAGGCAGCAGUGUGGAAUAUUGCUCAAUGGGCGCAAGCCUGAUGCAGCAACGCCGCGUGAGGGACGACGGCCUUCGGGUUGUAAACCUCUUUUAGCAGGGAAGAAGCGCAAGUGACGGUACCUGCAGAAAAAGCACCGGCUAACUACGUGCCAGCAGCCGCCGUAA
rnacentral:rRNA from 1 species